rnacentral:rRNA from 1 species
AGCCAGCAGCCGCGGUAAUACGUAGGGGGCAAGCGUUGUCCGGAUUUACUGGGUGUAAAGGGCGCGCAGGCGGAUUGACAAGUCAGAGGUGAAAUCCUGCAGCUUAACUGCAGAACUGCCUUUGAAACUGCCAAUCUUGAGUACGGAAGAGAGAGACGGAAUUCCAGGUGUAGUGGUGAAAUACGUAGAUAUCUGGAAGAACACCAGUUGCGAAGGCGGUCUCUUGGUCCGUUACUGACGCUCAGGCGCGAAAGCGUGGGUAGCAAACAGGAUUAGAUACCCUGGUAGUCCACGCUGUAAACGAUGAAUACUAGGUGUUGGAUCGCAAGAUUCAGUGCCGCAGCUAACGCAUUAAGUAUUCCACCUGGGGAGUACGAUCGCAAGGUUGAAACUCAAAGGAAUUGACGGGGGCCCGCACA